UAACUUCUGUCUAAAGUACAAAAGAGCAUUUUAAAAUUAGACAUAAAAUAAGAGUUAAGGUUGGAAAGAUAUAUUUAUUUUUAUUAUAGAAUAUAAAUAAAUAUAAUUUAAUUGUUAAUCUCAAAGAUGAAACUGAUGACAAAGUAUUCUGUUUUCCUUCUUUGCAAUAUUGCCAUCUUAAUUUUCUCCAGUGUUGGUUUCCUGUGUUUUUCUCUUUAGAAGGCUUUUUCUCUUUGUAGUUCUUACUUCUACCUCAGGCUUCCUUUGAAUUUUUCCAUUCACCUGAAAACUUCCCUCUUAAUAGUGAAUUCACUGAUCUCAUUAUUGAAAAAAUCAAGCACUAUCCCAGUCAAGAAAUAUAUUUGUCAAAUUAUUCGGUCUCUUUCUGGGGGGCCCAGCUUACUGUAUGUUACAAGU
rnacentral:lncRNA from 1 species